rnacentral:rRNA from 1 species
UACGGAGGGUGCAAGCGUUGUCCGGAUUUAUUGGGUUUAGAGGGAGCGUAGGCGGUCUUUUAAGUCAGUGGUGAAAUCCUCCAGCUUAACUGGAGAACUGCCAUUGAUACUGAAAGACUUGAGUACAGACGAGGUAGGCGGAAUUGACAGUGUAGCGGUGAAAUGCAUAGAUAUUGUCAAACUCCGAUUGCGAAGGCAGCUUACUAGACUGUAACUGACGCUGAGGCUCGAAAGUGUGGGGAUCAAACAGG